rnacentral:sRNA from 1 species
UGAAGGUCAAAAACUCUGAGGCGAGCUG